GACCCCUUAGCUCAGUGGUAGAGCGUGUGAUUCCAGUGAAUUUUCUUGAAUCCACAAGGUCGUCCGUUCAAUCCGGGCAGGGGUCA
rnacentral:tRNA from 1 species